rnacentral:lncRNA from 1 species
AGAUGGUCGAAUCCUUCACAACAGCAGCAACAACAACAACAACCUUAUUUUCAAAAUGCUGCUGGCCCAAGCAGACCAUACGUUCCUCCACCAAUCCAACAGCAACAGCCCCAGAAACAACAAACAAUUGAGGCCCCUCCGCAACCUUCCCUUGAAGAACUUGUGAGGCAAAUGACUAUGCAAAACAUGCAGUUUCAACAAGAGACCAGAGCCUCCAUUCAGAGCUUAACUAAUCAGAUGAGACAGUUGGCU